rnacentral:rRNA from 1 species
GAUGAACGCUGGCGGCGUGCUUAACACAUGCAAGUCGAACGAUGAAGCCCAGCUUGCUGGGUGGAUUAGUGGCGAACGGGUGAGUAACACGUGAGUAACCUGCCCUUAACUCUGGGAUAAGCCUGGGAAACUGGGUCUAAUACCGGAUAGGAGCGUCCACCGCAUGGUGGGUGUUGGAAAGAUUUAUCGGUUUUGGAUGGACUCGCGGCCUAUCAGCUUGUUGGUGAGGUAAUGGCUCACCAAGGCGACAACGGGUAGCCGGCCUGAGAGGGUGACCGGCCACACUGGGACUGAGACACGGCCCAGACUCCUACGGGAGGCAGCAGUGGGGAAUAUUGCACAAUGGGCGCAAGCCUGAUGCAGCGACGCCGCGUGAGGGAUGACGGCCUUCGGGUUGUAAACCUCUUCCAGUAGGGAAGAAGCGAAAGUGACGGUACCUGCAGAAGAAGCACCGGCUAACUACGUG